ACCUAAGCAAAAACGAUGCCACUGUAGAAGCAGCUGUGACCCGCCCACAAAGUAGCCACCCUCAAGUCGGCAACCUUGAGAUGGCUGACUGUAACAUUUUCUGACAAUCGCUCUGACCAAGUAUUAAGCAGCUUCCCAUGUUCUCAUUCUGCAUGAGCUAAAAAAAACUCCAGAUGAAAGAACUACUUCCACUGCCCUCCUAAUCUCCCCUUGUAGAGAAAGCUUUGUUGCACAUGUUGGUAAUUGGCAUGAAAGAUAUCAAAUUUGGCUUCCUGACAAAUCUAUAUAAACAGAAUGUGGUUUUUUUUUAAAAAAAGCAUAGUAUAUGAAUAGCGGGUUUCUAUCACUUUGAGGCAAUGUGUCCAAAAAGAGAGAGAAAGAGGGAGAAAAGAAGAAAGAGAUUACUUUCAAGUUGUGUGUAUUUUCAGGAGCACAUGUAAUAUUUAAAGUAAAUAUUUGGUUGAAGGCACUUCAUGCAUCAAGCAGGGUCACAGCAGGCUGUUCCACUGCUAUACUUGUGAGCUACCUAUAUAUUUAGCCCCCUAGAGACCCCUAGUCCUUCCUCAUAGGUGUGGUUUUCCUAGCAUUUCCCUUAGAACUACUUGAUUGCAAUCUUCAUAUUCUUGCCUUGUCUUAAUUGCAAUAUGGGUUCUGGUGGAAGAACUGGGAUCUGCUUAGUACAUAAUUUUGUUUUUCUAUCCCUCCAAAGAUGAUCUGCUGCCUAAGAAUGCACUUCCAAUUAAUUUUGUUGAAAGAUAUGUUAGAGAUCUCCUUUAAAUGUCUACAAAACAUUUUUCCACCAUGAAAACAUAGGAAGGAAAGGUGGGAGUAUUUAUAAGGGUGUUGUGCUUAUCUUCCUCCCUAAGUCUCUCAAGUGGACUCCCAUCCCAUCUUUCCUCAGCAGCUGCCACAUGCUUAGCUACCUCAUUAAUUUUUUACAAGACAUGGUCUCAACUUGGUAUUGUAGCAAGACUAGGUAUCCAGAUGGAAUAGAGAAUUGGCAAGCACAUGAAAGAAUGAAUCUCACAACGUGGACUCGUUGCCUCAGGAUAUUUUCUUUCCCCUCCAGCAGGUUUCGUCAGAAACUCUGUACAAGAAGGAAGACAACAGGCACAAUAAGGAAGGGAAAACAAAGAGAAAAGAAGGACUGA
rnacentral:lncRNA from 1 species